GCCAGGGAUAGCGCAGUCGGUAGAGCAUGAGACUCUUAAUCUCAAGGUCGUGGGUUUGAGCCCCACAUUGGGCA
rnacentral:tRNA from 1 species